rnacentral:rRNA from 1 species
CAGUAGCCGCGGUAACACGAAGGGUGCAAGCGUUAAUCGGAAUUACUGGGCGUAAAGCGCGCGUAGGUGGUUUGGUAAGAUGGAUGUGAAAUCCCCGGGCUCAACCUGGGAACUGCAUCCAUAACUGCCUGACUAGAGUACGGUAGAGGGUGGUGGAAUUUCCUGUGUAGCGGUGAAAUGCGUAGAUAUAGGAAGGAACACCAGUGGCGAAGGCGACCACCUGGACUGAUACUGACACUGAGGUGCGAAAGCGUGGGGAGCAAACAGGAUUAGAUACCCCCGUAGUCCCUGUCUCUUAUAC